rnacentral:lncRNA from 1 species
CGCUGAAACCACUUCAGUUGAAGCAUCCUUCAUAGAGUCACACCCUCCAUUACUGAACAAGAAUCCUUCUUUCAUGGGGCUCUGAGUAUCUCAUGUCAGCCAAUACUGAUUCCACAUUGUUUUGUAAAUGAAUAUGCAAACGAAAAAGGGGAUGUUAAAAAUGUUAAAGUGUAUUUUCUAGAAAUUAUGUUAGCUUUUAUUUUAUUUUAUUUGAAGUGAUGCAAUGAGUGUUAUUUGUAAUAUUGUGUAAUGGGAAGUUGUAGAACUAAUAAGUAGUUGGUAGUAUUUUUAUAAAUAGGUAGUUAUUGCUGUGAAAAGUAUUCUGGUAAAUGGGUAGUUUAAUUUUAAUUGUAGGAACCUCUAUUUCAAAAAGAGGUAUGUGGUCGGAUACUUCGAUUUCGCCAUCUAGGUGAUCCGGAUCUAGGUGAUCGGGUAAUACGUGUCUCGGAUUCAGAAGACUUAGGACCUGAAAUCGCUCUCUCGGGAACCUUGUUCACAAAACAAAGGCAGGUGCCCAAUUAGUGAAAGAGGAAUUUACUCGUGAGGUGGGGACUAACCUCACUUGGGUCCGUAAUUUACUUGGGCUGACUCACGUUGGCGCUCUCUUAGAUCAUGACAGAAAGCCUUCCAGCUGCUUCAGCUAGUUAGGAAUCGCCUCCCUUGACCUGCAACCUCCCUGUUUUCUACACAACACUAUCAUGUUAACUUGCAAGACUAGUAGGCUGAAGGACCCACCCUUGUCUUAGGGCAAUGCACAUUCAUAUGGCAGAGAAGAUGAGAAGUUAUGAUGAUGAAGAAGAAGGUUCGAAUAAAAAAAGAAAAGAGAAGAUGACUUGAUAAGGGGACGAGACUAGCAUGAUACCUGGAUCAGUACAGUGACCAAGUUGGAGUGGUAGCAAGACGAGCACGGUAACUCAAACCAAUGGGCAUAGUACACAGGACCAGCACGACGGCAAUACAACUCGACAGCCAGACCGCUAUGACAGUGCUAGACUAAGUAUGUCCUUUAGUCAAGCAAGAAUGAGGAGAAAAGAGAAUGAAGAGAAGGCAUGAUAUGACGAAGAGGGAGGGUCCCGAUGAUGUUAAGAUCGCCACCCACUGCCGUCAAGUACCAAUGUCGCGGCCCCUAAAUGGUGUUGGACACUGCUACUCACGGCGAAAGGGGUAGGCAGUGAACUUCAGAUAGCGUUAGGCAUCAUCGUUGGCAACACGAGAAUGUAGCACAUCCCUCUGCGGGUUGUGAUAGCUUCUUGUGAAGCGCACGACAAUAGGAGAGGGAUGGGAGAGAAGCGUGCAGACGGCGAUAGGCACUGAGCGCACAAAAGAAGCCCGCGGAUGGCGAUAGGCAAUGAGCUCAUGAAAGUAGCUUGCAGACAGUGAUAGGCACCGAACGCAUGAAAGAAGCUUGCGGACGGCGAUACGUAUCACCGUCUGCGAUAGGCACAGGAUGUACGAGAGAAGCUUGUGGACGGCGAUAGGCAUCAUCGUCUGCGAUACGUGCGAGACGCAAGAGAAGCCUGCGAACGAUGAUAGGUAUUGUCGCAUUGCAGGUGGCGAUAGGCAUCAUCGUUUGCGAUAGGCGUGCAACAGGAUGAGACCCCUGCAGGCGGCAAUAGGCAUUGCCGUCUGCGCUUACGCAGGACGUUGAGGAUACGUCUGCGGACAACAAUGAGUAGCGCCAUUUGUGAACUUCGUUGAGAGAUAGAGACAAAUAAAGAUAGGANNN